ensembl:lncRNA
ACAGUCCAAACAGAGUACAUACCAUCAUGAUUUGACUCAACCAUGAGAGACCAUAACAUCACAGUCCAAACAGAGUACAUACCAUCAUGAUUUGUUGAGCCACACCCAUCAUCCUCAGGCUGCCGUUUCAGCUCCAUCUCUGUCAGUGGUGUAGCUGUUAGGAUAACAGAACAAGUAUAUUUCAGUGUAAAACAGUCUUGUAUUAGCUGAAGUACAGAAUCAUUGUGAUAGCUACGAGUGUUCCAGGUUGAAUGAACAGUUCAGUGUAAAACUGUCUUGUAUUAGCUGAAGUACAGAAUCAUUGUGAUAGCUACGAGUGUUCCAGGUUGACUGAACAGUUCAGUCUGCUACAUCCUUCUCAAACAGUUCAUGGUUAUGAUAUUUCAGUUCAGUGUGGAACAGUCUUGUAUUAGCUGAAGUACAGAAUCAUUGUGAUAGCUACGAGUGUUCCAGGUUGACUGAGCAGUUCAGUCUGCUACAUCCUUCUCAAACAGUUCAUGUAUAUGAGGUUUCAUUAUAUAAUAUAAGAUAUUAAAACCAAAUAUUGAGUUUUACCUUCAGUCAUGGUUCUGUCCCUCUUUGCCAAUUUUUUGUCAAAUGUCACCAGCUCUUUCAGGUCCUCUGCCUGCGUUGAACCAGCUCUUUCAGCUCCUCUGCCUGCGUUGAACCAGCUCUUUCAGGUCCUCUGCCUGCGUUGAACCAGCUCUUUCAGGUCCUCUGCCUGCGUUGAACCAGCUCUUUCAGGUCCUCUGCCUGCGUUGAACCAGCUCUUUCAGCUCCUCUGCCUGCGUUGAACCAGCAGUCUGAGUACUGAAGUUUUCUCACAAACAAAGAAAGGAAUAUCCUGUGCAUCUGGCAGAAUGGAGGGGAGGUUCCUGCUUCCCUGGAUUGUCUACAGUUCUGACAAACAUGGCCUGUGUCCCAAACGGUACCUUAUUCCCUUUAUAGUCUGCUACUGUAGAGCAGGGCCCUAGUGCACUAUAU